AAUGAUUGUACAUCACAAGAUCACGACCGGGAUUGUACCUUGAUCUUGAUGACUUCUAGCUCCAGAACUCCAACGUGAUCUUCCUCACAGGGUGAUCACACCGACAGAGGUUCGCCUACGCUAGCCUCCAACAACUGCACAGCCCUCAGCUCUCCAGAGAGGUGUCCCUAAAGCUCCUUCUGCUUCUCUGCUGCUUCACGUCGAGUACAUCGUCUUGGAUCUGGGGCUCGGUGGAUUUUUCGGGGUAUUUAUAGUCCAGAGAGCGUGUGAUAAAAAUUGGAAGGCGAGGGAGGAAAGGAAACCCCCCGAGGCGAUCAGCCUGGGAUGGUCCAAGCCGAUCGGCCUGGGCCUUUCUUUUGGCCCCUCGCGUCCUGCUUCAUCUCCAAGUCUCCCUUGGUGCUUUGAAGUCCUAUUUUCACUUGCAUGUGGGCCUGACACGUCGGUUGCUUCGGGAUGAGAUUGAUCUUCAAUGACUUUCCAAAUAUCCGCUUGAUCUUCUUUGAUUCCUCUUUGAUCCCAAAGUGAUCCUUGCCAUAUCUUCACAAACUUAGCCCUUAAGUCAUCUCGGAGGAUUGCUUGCCAAAGAUGGACGUCGGAAGGCUCCAGAAGACCCUAGGCCGAUCGACCUGGGCUCCUCUAGGCCCAUCGGCCUAGGCCCUUCCUGGGCCCGUUGGCCUCCAUCUUCAUCUGGUUCAAUGUUCGUUCAGUGCUUUAUCCAAAAAUAUACUUUUAGGUUCAAUUCCCUGCAAAAACAGAACAUCCUCCAAAAUUUGUUGCAUAUGUGAAAAUGACCGGUUUAUUAGGUAUAAUUAAUAUCUUGGGUAUUAAAUUCAUGUCAUUAUUGAAGAUAAACAUGGAUAAAAGUGUGUCAAUAGUGAGCAUCAACAGCCCACGCCCGGACAUCCUUCAUCACCUGCUCCUCCGCGUCGCUCUGCCGUGCUGCCCCUUUCCGUCACUGCCUCACGGGCUAGCCUCACCGCCACCUCGCACCGACCGCCUGGCCGCCUGCCCACACUCGGACCCCUGCCGUCACCUGCUCCUCCGCGUCACUCCGCCGUGCGGUCCCCUCUUUGGCGCCACCGCACGGGCUAGCCUUGCCACCACCGCGCAUUGGCCGCGUGGUCGCCUCUCUACGCCACCACAUGGGCUGCCCAUGCUGCCCCCGCUUAGCUCCACCACAACGCCCAGCCGCGCGGUGCCUGCUCCGCCCCACCGUGCAGGUCGCCCGCGUGGCCUCCUCUCCGCAGCGCCACCGAGAUCUGCUAGGGGAGCUUGAACCCCAUGGGGACUCACCACGUGGGAGCAGGCAUGGGUGAGGGAGCACUGCCGUCUGUGCUUGGGAGAGAGAUAGAAAGGGUCAGGGGGAGAGGAGUGUUGGGAUCACUGCGCGAAUAAGAAGGUGGGAGGUGGAGUUGGAGCUUGGCACCCAGUGCCGUGGGAGGCGGCGAUGGAGGGAAGGGGGCAGACAGGCCGGGGAAGGAGAGGAGAGGCGGAAGAUAGGAUAAGGAGAGAUAAAAGAAAAAAAUAGUCAUUGACAUGUGGGCUCCACGUGUCAGAGGUAAGUAGGGGCCCAAAAGUAGAGAUCCUUGUUGGAGUUGAGCUAAAAAUAUCAAGACCCGUAAAAUUAGGAUAGCCCCUACUCAAUAAAUUAGGGGCCAAGAGUAGAGUUACUCUAAGAGCAACUCCAGCAAGGCCCCUACUUGAUCCUCUACUCAAAAAGUAGGGACUGAGAGCCAAAAAUCCAACUCCAACAGAGCCUCUACUUGGAUCCCUACCCUAGGGAGGUUCCUACUUUUCCCUUCCAAGCCCCUUCUCCUGCGGGUGUGUAGGGAGGCCCCUACUCGGCCAGUUCUUCUGUUUCACCUCCCGCGAACGUCUGUCCAUUCUGCGCGCGCCAUUCUCGUGCGUCGCCACGACCCCUUCGGUGGCGGCAUCGCUCCUCCGCCUCAACUCCUACACACGUAGCAGCACCCCUCCGCCACACCAUGCCAGGCAACGGCAAUCGAGCCCGAGCUCGAUUUGUUUCCGACAAAUCGAGCGGCAAAUCCGGUCCGACGUAAAUUGAAUUGAGGAGCGAGGAGAAGGCAUACCAUGCAGAUGACGUUGGGACUCGCACGGUGGCCGCCGAGGUCGCAGGGCUAGAGCUCCAUUUGACAUCGCUCAAGCAUCGAUUUUGAUGAGUCUACGCUGCUUGAAGCCUAUGCAAGGCCGACGCUACUUGGAUCUGCUGCCUUCUGCUGUCCCGAGUAGCAGGGAUGGUUAGGCUUGAGCUCCUCUGCUGAGUCUGUACUUUGCGGGGCCAUGCGAGGCUAGAGGUCUUCCACGAGAGUGAGUUCUUCCGUCGGAUAUGAACGAAUCCACCAAGCGAGAUGCAAACACAAGGAGCAAGAACAUAUGGGUAGGAAAGAGAUAAGGAUAAGAAAAAAUAAUAAAAGGAAAAGAAAUGUAGAAACCGAUAGGUGAGGCACAUCUAUCAUAAUAAAAGUAGGGACUUCGAUUAGGGUUAUUGGAAUCGAGCCUAAAAAUUAUGCCCUAGAAAGUAGGAGGAGCCCCUAGUUAGGACCCGUUUUGUUCUUUAGUCCCUCCUAAAACUCCUGUCACAUCGAAUGUUUAGAUACUACACUAAUUACAAAAUCAAUUGCACAGAUGGAUGCUAAUUUGCGAGACGAAUCUAUUAAGCCUAAUUAGUCCAUGAUUUGAUAAUGUGAUGCUACAAUAAACAUGUGCUAAUGAUGGAUUAAUUAGGUUUAGUAGAUUCGUCUCGUUGGCUAUUUGUGUUUAUGUACAACUUAGCCGCUAUAGCCCGCUACAGUCUCGUUUAACUCCGCUAUAGCUAUUUUAGUUAGCUGGAGAUUUAAAACCUUGCUAGGGGGACGGUUUCCAGAGCAGCAAAGAGCCGGUCUACGCGCACCUGAUCGAGGAGGGCCGCCGUUACCGCGCCGCCGACGGCUUCUUGGUGAACACCUUCAGCGAGAUCGAGCCCGGAUACGUGGAGGGGUUGACGAAGAAGGCGGCGGAGCAAGGCACGUUCCCG
rnacentral:lncRNA from 1 species